UCUGAAUAAUCUCGAUAACAAAAAUCAUCCAUACAAAGUCUAGUUUAAAGCUUCAUCUAAUCCAAACAGCACGAGAGUUUAGCUACUCAUGGUUCGAGAAACAAGAAAGCAAGAAAGGAAAGUAACCCGAGAAGACGACAUCUUUCGUCAAGGAAUCUCCGUCUUAUCGCCGAUCUUUGAUCCGUCUCCAAUCGUUGAUGAAAUCAUGCUUCAAACAUUCUCUGGGACUCUUUUCUCAAAACUGAAAAUUUUGUCCGAAAUAAUGUCUAUUCAAGUGUAAUUCGUCUAAAGGGGUCUCCAUGGUAUUUAAAGGUUUCUGGGUAAAGUUAGAGAAGUAUUAAGCUAAAAAUCUCGUCAGGACAAAGGACAUGGACGUGUUCUUUCUUCUGCUCUUUUCAGCCAUGUGCAUCAAUAGGAAGUACACGACAUUGUACUUUUAGAACAUAUCGUAUGACACCUGAAAUGUACCAAAACCAUACAAAGCAAUGUAUAACGGCCAAAGGGGCCAAGGGGGAGAACCAAAUAUCCACCAAACGUCAUGAAUUCGAUCAAGUUGAGACAUCCAAACAUCCAAACAUCCAAAAAUAUUAAUUAAAGAAGAACAAAUGUGCUAAUAAUCGAUAUAAUAUAUAAACGGUGUAAACGUGUUCAAACUUUGUAUACAAUUUAUACAAAUUAUAUUAUUACUAUCUGUAUGAAGUCCGUCAUUUGAGAUGGCAAUGGUGGAAGAAUGCAUGGUGAAUUUCCCUAUUUACCUUUUUAAUCUGAACCAUUAGCUAGGUCUAAGUCAAAAACAUGAACGGCUGUUUGAACGGAAUGAUUGCCUUGAUCCUGGAUUUAACCCCAGCCGAGCAAGACAAAUAUUCGUUGACUUUUAAAAGACCAAAAACUAACAUCAAAUAUUUGUACAGUGAUAAGAACUCACAAGGUACUUCAUCAAUCAGCAAACCCUAUCUUCUUUCAGCAACGGAUUAACAGAACUUGAAACAAAAACACGAGAAUACAUACAUUUCAGAAAGAAGAUAUCAUAGUUGAAAAGCAAAGAGAUUCAUGACCUCAGAGAUAUUGGUGGAUAGAAAUUCAUCCAUUGGACUCUAUCGAAUCCAUCAAGAGUAGCAAAUAUAUUCAUAACAUCAUCGGCCGAAAAAUCAAAGCCUAGACAGACUACAUCAGAUAGCAACAACCAACGAGAAUGACUACAAGGAACCCGGAGUGCUUACGAAUUGCUUCCUGGAGAGGAGGGCGGUUUGUCAUGAAUUUCCGCGUGUAAACGGUGACUUCCUUGGACUUACUGUUUUCCCUUUCCGCCAUGGUUGCUGCUUGCUUCGUGAAAGGCAGAAGUCAAUAGCAGCCCUUGCAGUGAAAGCUUGGAAGCCACUGAACAACCCCAGCUCUUUAGUUGAUUAAUAUAAACCUCCAUUGUUAGGGUUUCCACUAGAAAAGAUGAAUAUUUGGGUUACGCUUUCCUGAGCAUAAAAUAAUGGGCUUUUAUUUCAACCUUGGCCCAGUUCUCAAAAAAGCUUUUCCUGGAGCCUCUCUUCGGGCUCAUGGCGGAGGUUUUUCUUUUUUGACAAAUCUGGCGGAGGUUUUUGCAAUGUUGACAAAUCUGGCAGAGGUUCAUGUAUGUGACAAAACGGCAAAAAGGGUGUCGUUCUGGACACUCCUUCAAAUCUGCCAUUGCUGGUUUGUUUUUGUUGCUCUUGAUGUGGAUCUGUUGAAAACUCAAGAGCUAUCGGCAGCAGUGGUACAAGCCGAAGAUUCUGAUCUCUUUUGAUAUUAGUUCCGUGAUUCGCCGGAGUUAUGGCGGCGAAAGGAACUCAACCGAACAUGCACAAAUCCGUUGCAAUUUGUAAGGGAUACAACUUUGCUUCUACCUGGGAACAG
rnacentral:lncRNA from 1 species